rnacentral:rRNA from 1 species
CCUACGGGCGGCUGCAGUAGGGAAUCUUCCACAAUGGGCGAAAGCCUGAUGGAGCAACGCCGCGUGGGUGAAGAAGGUCUUCGGAUCGUAAAACCCUGUUGUUAGAGAAGAAAGUGCGUGAGAGUAACUGUUCACGUUUCGACGGUAUCUAACCAGAAAGCCACGGCUAACUACGUGCCAGCAGCCGCGGUAAUACGUAGGUGGCAAGCGUUAUCCGGAUUUAUUGGGCGUAAAGGGAACGCAGGCGGUCUUUUAAGUCUGAUGUGAAAGCCUUCGGCGUAACGGGAGUAGUGCAUUGGAAACUGGGAGACUGGAGUGCAGAAGAGGAGAGUGGAACUCGAUGUGUAGCGGUGAAAUGCGUAGAUAUAUGGAAGAACACCAGUGGCGAAAGCGGCUCUCUGGUCUGUAACUGACGCUGAGGUUCGAAAGCGUGGGUAGCAAACAGGAUUAGAUACCCCAGUAGUC